ensembl:processed_transcript
GCCUGAGCUUUGACCCACACCCCAUCGACCAACUGGCACUGAACUGUUUGCUCGUAGAGGGGGUGGGUGGCACGCUGAAGGCUAUCCAGCACGAUCCUGCCCUUUCCCUUGGCAAUUCUGUGACACUUUCCAAUCUAAGGCCGACAGAGCACCCUCCCAGCAGGCACUGUGAGUCCUCCGCAAAAGAAUGUGCAGGAUCAGAGGCCUCUUUCCAUUCCGCAAGGGUCACGCAAGACCCAUGGAAUUCAACAGGAGGCCAUCUAGGGACUGUAAAAGGUCGCGACGUCUGGCUUGAGGUUAAUGGAAGUUACAAAGGGUCAAAAGCCGACAGUGAGCGCUACCAGGUGUAGUGCCGGCAGUGCAAAGCGCACGUUACUGUGGACCUGAAGGCUCAGGCCUUGAUGCCAAGGCCGCCCUGAGGGCUCAGGAUAGUUUCCCACCUACUCAACUGUAAUUAGUAAUCUGGGGAGAGU